rnacentral:rRNA from 1 species
UACGAAGGGGGCUAGCGUUGCUCGGAAUCACUGGGCGUAAAGGGUGCGUAGGCGGGUCUUUAAGUCAGGGGGGAAAUCCUGGAGCUCAACUCCAGAACUGCCUUUGAUACUGAAGAUCUUGAGUUCGGGAGAGGUGAGUGGAACUGCGAGUGUAGAGGUGAAUUUCGUAGAUAUUCGCAAGAACACCAGUGGCGAAGGCGGCUCACUGGCCCGAUACUGACGCUGAGGCACGAAAGCGUGGGGAGCAAACAGG